ACACAAGCUGAUGUCAUCUGAUGGGUCUAUUUUAUCUACUUGGCUGUGCAAAUCCUCUUCUGUAGUAUAUGCUUUCUGGUGGACACUAAUAUGGAACACAAAGAUCUUCUCACAUUGCAGCUGCUCCCAUAUAUCCAUUGAUAUAUGCCUCUAACUCCAGACCUUUUUGUCCUUAAUCUUCUAAUCCGGUUAUCUCUUUUCCUUUAGUGCAAUUUUUCCUUAUUUGUUUGUUUUGUUUUUUUUUUUAAGUAAAUAGCUAGGCUUCUAAGCCCUACCACAGAGAGUCAACAGACAAACUGCCCAGGGAAAAGUUAUGACCUCAGGCAAAGUGAAUUUCUACAGCUAAGGCAGAUCCUGAAGAAGCUCACAAAUAAAGGCUGCAUACUCACACAUUCCCUGAAGCUUGACAGUGCCAGCCACCAUACUGUGAGGGAGCUGAAGUAAGCCCACAUGAGGAAGAAUUGAGGUCCCAAGCCAACAGCUGCAGCUAAGAUCCAAGCUCUCAACCAGUACCAGUUCAUCCGUUAUUUCCCAACAAUAUCAAUGAAUAAGAAGGAAGUCUUAAGGCUCCAGGAAUCCCCUCAGGGAGACUAGCUUUCAGAAUUUUAGGCACACUAAGAUAUGGAAGCUAAAAGAGGACUAAGAGGAUUCUGGGGAUAUUACAAGAUAUUGCAGACUAUCUUGUUUUCCUGGAAAAGGAUUUUACCUCAGUCGACUGAAUUACUUUUUUCACUGUGUCUUGCCACUCUUCGUGCAUGCAUCAAAGACCCUAAUAUGACUUCUGGUGGCCUGGGACUCCUUGGGAAAACAGAAAAGGGGCCACAAAUCCCAUUUUGGGAACAAUCUGUUUUACUCAUGGAACCCCUGGAAUUAGAGGUGUGUAAGUACCUCUCAAAAUCUGUCUUUGUCUUCUGGCUAUGCUUUUUAUGAGGCCCUGGAAUUUGUAGUCCUAGCCCUGUUCUUAGAGUGUCUCACUAGGAGGCGUAAUAAUCCAAUUAGGAAACUAGCCAAUGAAAAAUCUCAUAACUACUGGAUCUUCUUCUGUUUAUCUGUGUGGUUACAUAUGUGUUAUGUGUGUAAUAUCUAUUAAAAAGGGCUCUAAUUAAUUGGCCUAAGAACAGUAAGCACUUAAAUAAAAUAUUUUUAAGGGAAAAGUAAAA
rnacentral:lncRNA from 1 species